rnacentral:rRNA from 1 species
CCUACGGGAGGCAGCAGUAGGGGAUAUUGCACAAUGGGGGGAACCCUGAAGCAGCGACGCCGCGUGGGGGAUGAAGGGCCUCGGAGCGUAAAGCCCUGUUGGCAGGGAAGAAAAUGACGGUACCUAACGAAUAAGCACCGGCUAACUCCGUGCCAGCAGCCGCGGUAAUACGGAGGGGGCAAGCGUUACCCGGAAUCACUGGGCGUAAAGGGGGCGUAGGCGGGGAAGCAAGUCAGGUGUGAAAGCCUGGGGCCUAACCAUGGGACUGCAUUUGAAACUGUUAUGCUGGAGUGUGGGAGAGGUAGGUGGAAUUCUUGGUGUAGCGGUGAAAUCCGUAGAUAUCAAGAGGAAUACUGAUUGCGAAGGCGACCUGCUGGAACGCAACUGACGUUGAUGCGCGAAAGCGUGGGGAGCAAACAGGAUUAGAUACCCCUGUAGUC